rnacentral:rRNA from 1 species
UUGGUGGGGGAGCACCACAACGGGUGGAGCGUGCGGUUUAAUUGGACUCAACGCCGGGCAGCUCACCGGAUAGGACAGCGGAAUGAUAGCCGGGCUGAAGACCUUGCUUGACCAGCUGAGAGGAGGUGCAUGGCCGUCGUCAGUUCGUACUGUGAAGCAUCCUGUUUAGUCAGGCAACGAGCGAGACCCACGCCAACAGUUGCUAGCAUGUUCUCCGGAAUGAUGAGGACACUGUUGGGACCGCCUCUGCUAAAGAGGAGGAAGGAAUGGGCAACGGUAGGUCAGCAUGCCCCGAAUUAUCCGGGCUACACGCGGGCUACAAUGGUCAGGACAAUGGGAAACGGCACUGAAAAGUGUAGUCAAUCUCCUAAACCUGUCCCAAGUUCGGAUUGUGGGCUGCAACUCGCCCACAUGAAGCUGGAAUCCGUAGUAAUCGCGUUCAAAAUAGCGCGGGAAUAAGUCCCUGCUCCUGCACACACCGU